rfam:Ornithorhynchus anatinus chromosome 2, whole genome shotgun sequence.
AGCAGUGUGGCUCAGUGGAAAGAGCUCGGGCUUGGGAGUCAGAGGUCAUGGGUUCUAAUCCCGGCUCUGCCG